CCCUUAGACGUUCUGGGCCGCACGCGCGCUACACUGACCAGUGCAACAAGCAUCCGUCCUUGGCCGACAGGCCCGGGCAAUCUUUGAACGCUGGUCGUGAUGGGGAUAGACUUUUGCAAUUUUUGGUCUUCAACGAGGAAUUCCUAGUAAACGCAAGUCAUCAACUUGCAUUGAUUACGUCCCUGCCCUUUGUACACACCGCCCGUCGCACCUACCGAUUGAAUGGUCCGGUGAAGCCUCCGGAUUGGCGCGCACCCUCGGGUGCUGCCGAGAAGUUGGCUAAACCUUACCAUUUAGAGGAAGGUGAAGUCGUAACA
rnacentral:rRNA from 1 species